rnacentral:rRNA from 1 species
GUGAGGAAUAUUGGUCAAUGGGCGAGAGCCUGAACCAGCCAAGUAGCGUGAAGGAUGACGGCCCUACGGGUUGUAAACUUCUUUUAUGCGGGAAUAAAGUUCGCCACGUGUGGCGUUUUGCAUGUACCGCAAGAAAAAGCACCGGCUAAUUCCGUGCCAGCAGCCGCGGUAAUACGGAAGGUGCGAGCGUUAUCCGGAUUUAUUGGGUUUAAAGGGAGCGUAGGCGGAGCGCCAAGUCAGCUGUGAAAUCCUGCGGCUCAACCGUGGGCCUGCAGUUGAAACUGGCGUUCUUGAGUGCACAUGAGGAUGGUGGAAUUCGUGGUGUAGCGGUGAAAUGCUUAGAUAUCACGAAGAACUCCGAUUGCGAAGGCAGCUGUCUGGGGUGCAACUGACGCUGAGGCUCGAAAGUGCGGGUAUCAAACAGG